rnacentral:tRNA from 1 species
GGGCAUGUGGCGCAGUUGGUAGCGCGUUCGCUUAGCAUGCGAAAGGUCCUCGGUUCAAAUCCGAGCACGUCCA